rnacentral:rRNA from 1 species
CAGUAACUGGGGUGAAGUCGUAACAAGGUAGCCGUAUCGGAAGGUGCGGCUGGAUCACCUCCUUU